rnacentral:rRNA from 1 species
GAUGAACGCUGACAGAAUGCUUAACACACGCAAGUCUUUGGCGAAGCUGUGCUUGCACAGCCUAGCCAAGGCGGACGGGUGAGUAACGCGUAAGGAACUUGCCCUGCAGUCAGGGAUAACAGACGGAAACGACUGAUAAGACCUGGUAAAGUCAGGCGGACUCAUGUCCAGCCUGAUGAAAAGAGAUGCUGCAGGAGAGCCUUGCGUCCUAUUAGCUUGUUGGUGGGGUAACGGCCCACCAAGGCGAUGAUAGGUAGCCGGCCUGAGAGGGUGGACGGCCACAAGGGGACUGAGAUACGGCCCUUACUCCUACGGGAGGCAGCAGUGGGGAAUAUUGGACAAUGGGGGCAACCCUGAUCCAGCAAUUCUGUGUGCACGAUGAAGGUUUUCGGAUUGUAAAGUGCUUUCAGCAGGGAAGAAAAAAAUGACGGUACCUGCAGAAGAAGCGACGGCUAAAUACGUG